UUCCCUUUUAACCUAUUUUUUAGUGUACAUCUAUAAUUUUCCUAAUUUCAUGAGAUAGAUACAUAAGUGGUUAACUUUCAACCUUUUUUCUUUUCUAAACAUUUAAGGCUAUAAAUUUUCCUUGAAAUCAGUUUUGCAACAUCUAACAAUUUUAAUGGAUAGUAUUUUCAUUAUCAUUUGCUCCCAAAUAUUUUCCACUAUAACCUCUCUUUAACCCAGGAAUUACGUAGAAGAGGUUUAUUUUGUUUAUGCUUUUUCCUGGUAAACUGGGUGGUGAAUACAUGAAGUAUUCAUUUUAUUAUUCUUCCUUAAGAUGCAUAAGUAUUUUAUAUAUAUUCUCUUAACUGUACAUUUUAUAAUAAAAUUUUUGGAAGAAUAAAACAGUAACUUUUAUUUUAAAACUCCCCAUAAUGCUAUCACAUUUGAAUAAUUAUUUUCAUCCUUACAUACCAUCUUCUAUAUUCAUAUGCAGUUUUUUAAUAUAUGCAAAAUAGUUACACUCACGGAAAUUAAAUUGGCCAGAUGGACUCUUGAUUUAUAAGAGAUAAAUUAGAGACUGGGGGAAAAAAGAAUUUAGAACUUAGAAAAUUUAGAGAUAAAUUAGGGGCAAUUAUUUGCUUCAUAUAAGAAUCUACUUUGAGAUUUCUUUGAAUAACCACUUCGAUUCCACUUUGAGGAGUAUUUCUAUUGUAAAUACAAAACCAAAUAAUUUCCAAAAUUUAAUAUCUAAAAUAUUUUGUAGUAUUUGGUGAAAUAGAGAAUCCAUGUCCUCUAGCUUAUUAAUAAUUCACAUAAACCACAGGUUUCAAAUAUCAGUUCUUCAAAAAACAAGAACAAAAAAAGCACUGAUUGAUAAAUAAUAACAGAGUCAGUUACUUUAAAAACAUUAAUAGGGAACCAACCUAAUAAAAAUAUCCCGAACAGCUUGUUCACUUGCUCCAAUAUAUUUGCUGAGUAACUCUGGCCCCUAUGGGUAAAAUAAAAUUAGAGUUGAGAUAAAAUUAUUUAAAAAGAAAAUAUAAAUUUGGUUUCUGACUAAAUGAAUCAUGGAAAUCUUUCAUAUGAUUAAAUGGAUGUCUUUUAUACAUUUUUAAAAUUAAUGUGUGCUAGAAUAAAUAACAUACCACAAGUUCUAUGCUUGGUGUUUCUUCUGCCCAGAACAUUUUCCCCCAGAUAUUCUCAUGGCUUGUUGCUUCAUUUUAUUUAGAUCUCUGCUCAAAUACCACCUCUUCAGAAACCCUUUUCUGACACGUCCAUCUAUGACUCACUCCAGUUUACUCUAAGCUUCCUUACCCUGCUUUUCUUCCUCCAUAGGACUUACUAUCACCAUCUGACAGUGGAUUAUAUACUGAAUGUGUCUAUCUGCUUAUUGUCACUCUCCACUAGUAGAAUGUAAACUCCAAAAAGGCAGUUUUGUUCACUGCUGAAUCCCUUGUGCCAGAAACAGUGUCUGCCACACUUUGAGAAUACAGACUGUGCACAAGCGUUUGUCAAAUAUUUGUCAAAUGAACAAAAGAGUAAAUCUGUAAAUUAAACAAUUAUACCAUUCUAGGAAAUCAAAGCGCUACUACUACAUCUACCAACGCUUCUGUGAAGACUUCUAAGAGUAUCUCCCAAUCAUCUGCCGAGAGGGGUUCCACCUCAACUUGUUGACAAGAUACCACGUGGGAACAUGGCUUGAGAAAUACCUAGAAAAAAUUAAAAAUUUAAAACUACUUUAAAAAAACUUUUCUGUGUCAUAUACUAGAAAAUAAAAAGCUAUCUUCUUACCAUUUUAGGUAAGUAGAUGUGUGUGUGUGUUUUGGAGGGGGGUGUAUAUGUAGUCUAUGUAGUCUUUCUGUUUUGAGAGAUGGGGACUGGCUCUGUCACCCAUGUUGGAGUGCAGUGGUACAAUCAGAGCUUACUGCAGCCUGGAAACCCUGGGCUCAAGCAAUCCUUCCGCCUCAGCCUC